rnacentral:rRNA from 1 species
CGCAAGCCUGAUGGAGCAACACCGCGUGAGUGAAGAAGGGUUUCGGCUCGUAAAGCUCUGUUGUUAAAGAAGAACACGUAUGAGAGUAACUGUUCAUACGUUGACGGUAUUUAACCAGAAAGUCACGGCUAACUACGUGCCAGCAGCCGCGGUAAUACGUAGGUGGCAAGCGUUAUCCGGAUUUAUUGGGCGUAAAGAGAGUGCAGGCGGUUUUCGUAAGUCUGAUGUGAAAGCCUUCGGCUUAACCGGAGAAGUGCAUCGGAAACUAGGAUAACUUGAGUGCAGAAGAGGGUAGUGGAACUCCAUGUGUAGCGGUGGAAUGCGUAGAUAUAUGGAAGAACACCAGUGGCGAAGGCGGCUACCUGGUCUGCAACUGACGCUGAGACUCGAAAGCAUGGGUAGCGAACAGGAUUAGAUACCCUGGUAG